UACAGAGGUGGCGAGCGUUGUUCGGAUUUACUGGGCGUAAAGGGCGCGUAGGCGGUUUUGUGUGUCGGAUGUGAAAUCCCACUGCUCAACGGUGGAACUGCGUUCGAAACUGCAAAACUAGAGUGUAGGAUGGGAGAGUGGAAUUCAAGGUGUAGCGGUGAAAUGCGUUGAUAUCUUGAAGAACACCGGUGGCGAAGGCGGCUCUCUGGAAUACUACUGACGCUGAGGCGCGAAAGCUGGGGGAGCAAACAGG
rnacentral:rRNA from 1 species